GGCAGACACCGAAAGGGUUAACGGAAAGGAAAUUUCUGGAACCUUCUAUUCUGCGGCGCUACACAGCGAGCGGAGGGCUGAGGACUGCGCAGAUGGUGCACGGGCAGAGCUCUUCGGUCCAGUUCGUCUUUCCCACCAACCAGCAAAGAAGAUGGCAACUCUGCCUGGAAGUGCUGAGGACACAACCGGCUUUGGGCUUGGUCCUUCUGGCCGAGGAAGUCUCCUGAUUAUGCAGUGGAGUGGUAACUUUGCUUUCUCAUAUGGCAGGGAACAUUAUUCCAUAGCUUUUCAUCAUAUCGAGGCUUAAACAAGUUUAAGGAUACGGUAGCAUAAGCAUUUAAUCUAUAUUACUCACUCGCUGACAUCUCAAGCGUCAGGUCCGGUUGUUUAGCAACAACCGCUGGGUUCAGAACCGCCUCAAACAUACUGCGUCCGCCGUCUCCAUUACUUCAGCAGCAGCCUGUCCUCUGAACGGCAGUCUGAGAGAGAGGGAGAGAGAGAAGGGCUGUAUUUACACGCAUACACCCACCCCGACUGAAUUUCGGUUGUUCGGUUACAAAGGCCGUACGCACUGCGGUUUUAUCCGACUCCAUUAUUUUGCGCAGUACCGUAGAGGGGAGGAUGCCGUUUCCAACGGCAGUGCGGAGGUAAGAACGGGGAGGGAAGAAGUAAACAGACAGUACGUGCCACUCCCCACUUUUUUAUCCUCUUUCCCAUCUCCACCUUUCUUGCCUCCCCUCCUUUCCUGCCAGAUUCCGUAGGGAAUUUCAGAGUCUUACUGCAGUCGUCACAACCCCUCCUGACUCACUGAGCCUUCGCUGGCUGUAGCUGGCUCCCUUGGAGCAUCCUUGCCUCCUGCAGCGCCAGUUCCGCAGAGCAGGGGAACAACAGGAAUAGCAGCAACAACGGUGGUCCCUGCAGCAAGACAGACAGGUGUAAAUACACACACAUAUAGGAACAGUACAAGGCAGCCGCAGAGGUAAACCUGUACAGCCAGGAGCUGGACUAAGGAGCGAUGCUUGGUUGCGUGGGAGAUGGGUGGGUUGAGUCUGUUUUACUGAGUGCUGUCUGAACGGACAACCCUUUGCAUCUUUCCCCAUCGCAGUUGUGGGGUGGAGGACCCCAUUAAUUUCCAAAGCUAGUGCUUCUUAAUGGCAUUUCUCAGUCUGCUGAAGGAGGUGUAACUGGCAGCCAGUAUACUUCCUCAGGCAUACGCCUGAGUUUUUGGUAUCUGUGUUCAGUGUAGGGACCGUUAGUUUUUAUUCCUUUUGCUACCAUCUUUUUGCCACAGUGAGAGGUGAAUUGUGACUAAAUGCAGGGAGGGUAAGGAGGCAGAGAUAAGAGAGGAGUUAUUUCCAUGUGAAACUUUGGCCGUAAAUCUCAUUACUCAGGAAUUGAGGUUACUGGCAGCCGGUAAAUCUGUGGGACUGGCAAGAAACAAGGCUAAGAAGGGGACACGGCGUAUUUCUGUAGGGCGGCAGCGAUUUUGCGCAUAGGGACGGUAUCGUUACCGUACGUUAGCUGUACAUGGCUAACUGUUCCAUAAUGGUUUUCUGCGUAUUGCCGCAAAAGGACUUGGGAAAGCUGUGAUUUCUUCCUCCCUCUGACACUAGUGUGUGUGACAUUGUGUAAGCUGAUUCAUUUUUCUGUAUUUUGGUUUCCUUCCUUUGUAAAGUGGGGUUUAUUAUAUCUCUCAGCCUUGGUGCGGCAUUAUGACGCAGUGUUCAUUAAUGCUUUGGGUCUGUUGGCAAAAUACGUGCAAUUUUCUUGGGAGUUCUGACUGUUCAAGGACCGCAAAAUUUGGUAAAGGAAGUUGAGGGUUGCAAAUGCUCAGGAUGUAAAUUUAAAAGCAUUACCAUCUUAUUCUCCUUUGAUAUCGAAGGAAGGCUCUCUGACUGACGAGACAGCCAUGAUCUCUUUCUGCACUUGUUUUGCCGAUGGUCAUGUUACAUCUGUGACGCAGUCCGAUUUUGCUCUUGGUUCCUGUCUGUGCUGCACGGAGUUGAGCUGAUGAGGGCACAAGCUUGAAUAUGGUUAGAAACGCUGAUUUCAUAUUGAUGUUAAAGUUCGCAACCAUACCUGAAGUGGCAGGUGUCGGCAUCCACCUAUUUCACCACCCAGGAACGGUGAAGGAAUUCGAAUGAACACAAGAGCACCCCUAGCCAUUUUGUUGCUCUCAGAGUAGGCUCCAAGCCUGCAGCGCUGCUGCUGCUGCUGUUAAUUUCCAUGUCAUAUAAAUACAGCGUUGGGCUCUGUGUCAGGAGCUUUACUGAUGCUCUGAGAAGCUUAAAGUCUAUAAGUAAAUGUUUUUCUUUUCUUAUUUGGGAAGAUUCAUUAAAAUGUCCAAAUGCC